UACGAAGGGGGCUAGCGUUGCUCGGAAUUACUGGGCGUAAAGGGCGCGUAGGCGGAUAUUUAAGUUAGAGGUGAAAGCCCAGGGCUCAACCCUGGAAUAGCCUUUAAUACUGGAUAUCUUGAGUUCGGGAGAGGUGAGUGGAACUCCGAGUGUAGAGGUGAAAUUCGUAGAUAUUCGGAAGAACACCAGUGGCGAAGGCGACUCACUGGCCCGAUACUGACGCUGAGGCGCGAAAGCGUGGGGAGCAAACAGG
rnacentral:rRNA from 3 species